rnacentral:rRNA from 1 species
CCUACGGGUGGCUGCAGUGGGGAAUAUUGGACAAUGGGCGAAAGCCUGAUCCAGCCAUGCCGCGUGUGUGAAGAAGGCCUUCGGGUUGUAAAGCACUUUCAGUGGGGAAGAAAGCCUUGGGGCUAAUACCCUCGAGGAAGGACAUCACCCACAGAAGAAGCACCGGCUAACUCCGUGCCAGCAGCCGCGGUAAUACGGAGGGUGCGAGCGUUAAUCGGAAUUACUGGGCGUAAAGCGCGCGUAGGCGGUCUGAUAAGCCGGUUGUGAAAGCCCCGGGCUCAACCUGGGAACGGCAUCCGGAACUGUCAGGCUAGAGUGCAGGAGAGGAAGGUAGAAUUCCCGGUGUAGCGGUGAAAUGCGUAGAGAUCGGGAGGAAUACCAGUGGCGAAGGCGGCCUUCUGGACUGACACUGACGCUGCGGUGCGAAAGCGUGGGUAGCAAACAGGAUUAGAUACCCCUGUAGUC